rnacentral:rRNA from 1 species
CCCUGGAAACAGAUGCUAAUACCCGGGAUAACAAACAGAUGAUGCCCUAUCAACUGUUUUAAAAAGAUGGUUCUGCUAUCACUCUUGGGAUGGGACCUGCGGUGCAUUAGCUAGUUGGUAGGGUAACGGCCUACCAAGGCGAUGAUGCGUAGCCGAGUUGAGAGACUGAUCGGCCACAUUGGGACUGAGACACGGCCCAAACUCCUACGGGAGGCAGCAGUAGGGAAUCUUCCACAAUGGACGCAAGUCUGAUGGAGCAACGCCGCGUGAGUGAAGAAGGUUUUCGGAUCGUAAAGCUCUGUUGUUGGUGAAGAAGGAUAGAGGUAGUAACUGGCCUUUAUUUGACGGUAAUCAACCAGAAAGUCACGGCUAACUACGUGCCAGCAGCCGCGGUAAU